UGAGGAAUAUUGGUCAAUGGGCGGGAGCCUGAACCAGCCAAGUCGCGUGAGGGAAGACGGUCCUAUGGAUUGUAAACCNCUUUUNUCGGGGAGCAAAGAGGCCACGUGUGGUCAAAAGCGAGAGUACCCGAAGAAAAAGCAUCGGCUAACUCCGUGCC
rnacentral:rRNA from 1 species